rnacentral:lncRNA from 1 species
AAGGGAAGGGAAGGGAANGAAGGGAAGGGAAGGGAAGGGAAGGGAAGGGAAGGGAAGGGAAGGGAAGGAAGAAGUCACUAAGCUAGCAUCCCAGAACAGGGCAUCUGGGUGGAGCCAGAUCAGUUUAUUCAGACGUUGUUGCUUUCGCAGGACGGGAUUCUUUUGGGAAGGGGCCCUAGGUGAGAUGUCCUGUACUGGCAGCAACCACAAGUCACACUGAGGCUCUUAGCUUCCAAUUAGGUUGGUUUCAGUCUUUUAUAUGAAGUAUCUGAUUUUUACCUGGAUCCAGAUCUUAAUCUUUUCUAAAGAUUAGUUUCCUGUCCUGGUUUCAAUUUCAGUGGCGUUUACCCUACCGUUUCCUUGUGACUUAUGCCAGGUAUGUGUGGAGGAGAAAGCAGUGUGUGUGUGUGUAUACAUAUAUGUGUGUAUAUGUAUAUAUACAUAUGUACAUGUAUAUACAUAUGUAUAAGUAUGUAUAUACAUAUACAUGUGUGUAUACACACACACCCAUCUCUCUAUAUAUAUCAGUAGAAUGGAGCAGGUUCUUAUGCCCAUAUGCAGCUGAUUCAGACAUUAAUUACAUAAGCAGACAAAUGUGCUUGACUUUGGAGGGCCUCGUCCUGCCCACAGAUAUUGAGAAAGUACAGCCCUAUUAUUGCUCAGUACAACCUAUCAAGAUCAAGACCCCCCUGUAUUUCCUCCACGAAUUAUCUUUCACCAAAAUCUAAAAUGUCCAUACUGCUGUCUGUUACUAAUAAAAACAGCCUACCUUGUGUAAUUAAACAGUUGAAUCUGACUACAUGCCGAUUUUAUUGGUAGUGACUGUGGCAAAUUA